GCAAAUAGAGUAGCAAAUGAAAUAUUGGUUAACAGUAUGAUAACUUCACUUAACGUUUCAAAAUCUUGGUUCCAAAAUAUGACUUGGUUGUUUCAUGAAUUAUUGCUUCCCUAUAUGCAUGAAACCUCUAAUCCCACUACCCAUCCCUUAUAACAAUUUGAUGCAUUCUUAGGAGAUUUAAGCAUGGUGAGCCACCACAUAGUAAGCUGGCCAGAUUAUCAGUAGUCAUUCAGUUACAUGGCUAAACAAGUAAACAUACCGCAUAAUCCUGUAAAUACUAGCAACCAGGGGGGAAAUUUUGAUUUAUUAGUAAGGUAAAGAGUUUAUUCUGCUUUCUUAC
rnacentral:misc_RNA from 1 species